AAGGNGCGGGCCACGGCAGGUCAGUAUGCCCCGAAUCCCCCGGGCCACACGCGAGCUGCAAUGGCAGGUACAAUGGGUUCCGACCCCGAAAGGGGAAGGUAAUCCCUAAAGCCUGCCGUAGUUGGGAUNGAGGGCUGCAACCCGCCCUCGUGAACAUGGAAUCCCUAGUAAUCGCGCGUCACUAUCGCGCGGUGAAUACGUCCCUGCUCCU
rnacentral:rRNA from 1 species